UACGGAGGGUGCGAGCGUUAUCCGGAAUUACUGGGUUUAAAGGGUGCGUAGGCGGAUAAUUAAGUCAGAGGUGAAAGCUUUCAGCUUAACUGAGAAAUUGCCUUUGAUACUGAUUGUCUUGAAAUAUGUUGAGGUUAGCAGAAUGUGGCAUGUAGCGGUGAAAUGCAUAGAUAUGCCAUAGAAUACCAAUUGCGAAGGCAGCUAACUGGGCAUUAUUUGACGCUGAGGCACGAAAGCGUGGGGAGCGAACAGG
rnacentral:rRNA from 1 species